UCUUCAUCUUUGAUCAACGCCUUGAGCUUUUCAGAUGAUAUGUGACCUAGUUUGUUGUACUAUAUUCUGGAAUCCAGAAAUGUGUAUGCAAAAGCAGGGGGACCAGACUUGAAUAGGUAGAGUUCAUCUUGACAUCUACCCUGCCCAAUCACUAUCCCUGAUUGGUUUUCCUGAAAAUAGCAACCACUAUUGUCAAAAAAUAUUUUUAAAUCAUUAUUCAAAGUUAAUUUGCUUACUGAAAUUAAAUUAACUUUGAAUUGCGGAAUAUAUAGAACAUCUUUUAAAAUGAUGUUUUUAGAUAGAGUUAUAUCUCCAGUGGAUUUAAUUUUACAUAUUUCACCACUGGGUAUAGUAACAAAAUGCUCCUGAUUUUUAUUUGGAGGUCUAUCAAAAUAUUCUAGAUUCCCAGUCAUAUGUUGGGAAGCACCUGUAUCAAUAAUCUACACAUUUUUAAAAUUAGAGACAUUGAAACUAAAUGCCAUACCAGUAGAUUUGGAGAGAAGAUCUUUCAGCAUCAGAAGUUCCUCAUUUGAUAGGCAUGGAAUGGGUGAAGAUGUGGAUGCUUGAGAUUGAUUUGCUGAAUCUGUUUUUACCUUCUUAUUUUUAUCCUUUUUGCUGUCCUUGAAUUUCUUUUCUGGAAACCCAAUAAUGUGGAAGCACUCUUUCCUAAUGUGACCAUAAAAUUUGCAGUUGUCACAGUAUUUUGAGGUGUCUAACUUUCUACCAUUUUUGCUAUAUAAGCCUUUUUCUUCUUUGCCUUCUUUGGCUUUAUUUUCUUCAUUUGUUUUCUUGACAAAAAAUGCAGAUUCACUUACUGUUUUCUCAUUUUUAUCCCUAAAAUUGACAAUCUGUUUCUCUUCUUGUAUAAUCAGAUAAAAUACCUUACUCAUAGUGGGCAAUUCAUUAUGAGAAAGAAUUUGACUUCUAAUUGUUUUGAAAUUGUCAUUCAGUCCUAGAAGGAACUGAUGGAUUUUAUCCUUCUCCAGUUUAUUUGUAUAAACUGAAGAACAUCGCUCACAAAAAAUGCAAUCAUCUAAAUCUAAUUCCACUUUUUGAUCCCAAAGUGCUUUGAAUUUAUCAAAAUACACUACAAAAAACCAGCGCAGUUCUGGCGGCCUGGCCGCCGAUAUAAUAGUUCCUGGCGGCCAAGCCGACGAUAUUCCAUCGCCGGAAGUAAUGUCGCCGGAAUUGUGAAAUACCGGCAGCUUGGCCGCCGACAAAAAAUUGUGGAUUCCGAUUUUAACAGAAAUUGUCCCGGCGGCUUAGUCGCCGGUAUUUUUUUUUGAAAAUUAUAUCCCGGCGACCUACAGUUAUUUUUGGAAAAUAAUUUGCCAACGGCCUGGCCGCUGGUCAAUAUUUCCCGGCAGGAAAAAAAAAUUCCCCGGGGAAAAAGUUCUGACGGCCAAGCCGAUGGUUCACUUUUGAAAAAUAAAAAAAAAAUUAUUUUAAUUUUGUUUUGUAAUAUAUUUUUUUGUAUGAAAUUAAUAAAUUAAAUUUGAAAUUGAAGUUUAAUAUUUAAUAUACAACAAAAAAUUAAAUUCGAUAAUUACUAAUUUAAUUUCUUUUUUUCGCUCUUCUUCUUUUUUUUAGUUGCGACCACCUUUCGUAACGCCUCUUUCGUGAAGAUAAUCGAUCUUCCUCCGCGCGGUUGUGGAGUAGUGUGUUCCUCUUGUGGCAUAGUUUGUUGAAGAGACGUCGUAGUUUCUUGCGUUGGUAGUUGAGUAGGUGGUGCGGCUCUAGAAGAUGAUGCUCCAGAAGAAUAAAUGUUGAACCCUCCUGCGGGAUGCGCUGCAUCGUUGUUGAAGAUUGGCGGAAACUCC
rnacentral:lncRNA from 1 species